CGGCAAACGGGUGAGUAACGCGUGAGAAACCUGUCUUUCACAAAGGGAUAGCCUCGGGAAACCGGGAUUAAUACCUUAUGAUACUAAAGUAAUGCAUAUUACCUUAGUUAAAGUGUAAAACGGUGAUAGAGGGUCUCGCGUCCCAUUAGCUAGUUAGUAAGAUAAAAGCUUACCAAGGCAAUGAUGGGUAACCGGCCUGAGAGGGUGAACGGUCACACUGGAACUGAGACACGGUCCAGACUUCUACGGGAGGCAGCAGUGGGGAAUAUUGCACAAUGGAGGAAACUCUGAUGCAGCGACGUCGCGUGAACGAUGAAGGCUUUCGAGUCGUAAAGUUCUGUCUUUAGGGACGAUAAUGACGGUACCUAAAGAGGAAGCCCCGGCUAACUACGUGCCAGCAGCCGCGGUAAUACGUAGGGGGCGAGCGUUGUCCGGAUUUAUUGGGCGUAAA
rnacentral:rRNA from 1 species